UUGAUCCUGGCUCAGAAUCAACGCUGGCGGCGUGCCUAACACAUGCAAGUCGAACGCGAAAGUCCCGCAAGGGAUUAGUAGAGUGGCAAACGGGUGAGUUACACGUGGGUGACCUGCCUUCGAGUGGGGGAUAACGUCCCGAAAGGGACUCUAAUACCGCAUGACAUCCUGCCUUUGAAGAGGUGGAGCUUAAAGCCGGUGAUCGCAAGACCUGGCGCUUGAAGAGGGGCCCGCGCCUGAUUAGCUAGUUGGUGAGGUAACGGCUCACCAGGGCAUCGAUCAGUAUCCGGCCUGAGAGGUCGGACGGACACACUGGGACUGAGACACGGCCCAGACUCCUACGGGAGGCUGCAGUGGGGAAUUGUUCGCAAUGGGCGCAAGCCUGACGACGCAACGCCGUGUGGAGGAUGAAGAUCUUCGGGUCGUAAACUCCUUUCGAUCGAGACGAAUGACUUCCGGGUGAACAAUCCGGGAGAGUGACGAUACCGAGAGAAGAAGCUCCGGCUAACUCCGUGCCAGCAGCCGCGGUAAUAAGGU
rnacentral:rRNA from 1 species